AAAUCUCAACCCUUCCAUUUUAUUUUGGGAGUGCGUUGGAAUUGGGGCGUGCCGGUGGCCCUGCCAUCUGGCUCCCCUUCAAAUUCAUUAGCUGGGCCUUGCCCUUGGGUCCCGUGGUGUGAUAAGAAAACGCCGUGGACCCUUAGGCAAUCUGGGCCUGCUUCCAAUCGUCGGUUGGCCGAAUCCUUUUGACCC
rnacentral:misc_RNA from 2 species